UACAGAGGGGGCAAGCGUUGUUCGGAAUUACUGGGCGUAAAGGGCGCGUAGGCGGCCUGUUAAGUCGAACGUGAAAUCCCCGGGCUCAACCCGGGAACUGCGUCCGAUACUGGCAGGCUUGAAUUCGGGAGAGGGAUGUGAAAUUCCAGGUGUAGCGGUGAAAUGCGUAGAUAUCUGGAGGAACACCGGUGGCGAAGGCGGCAUCCUGGACCGAUAUUGACGCUGAUGCGCGAAAGCCAGGGGAGCAAACGGG
rnacentral:rRNA from 1 species